AUGACUCGAGCCAAAGUCGGACGCUGAACCGACUGAGCCCCCAGGUGCCCCAGGUAAUUUUUUUUACACAGGGUCCCCACGUUCUCCUUUUCUACCGGGCCUUCCCAAUCAUGCAGCCAUUCUUGUACAGACGCCUCGUGGGUGAGUGUGCCGAUCACACCCACGUUCCUCCUACACGACUCGGAGCACAGUGCUGCGCACAUGCUGCGCCCCAGGGGGGUAGGGUUUUCCCCACACCAAGAAAUUCUGCGGCACCAGCCAGGUGUCCUGCAGUGUAAGUCACUUGUGACGCCAUCCACCCGGAGACUGUCCCCACCUCAGACACCAGUCACAAGGCCAGGCUGUCUCUUGCGCUUCUGACCUACCUGCUCCGGAUGGGAGGCUCCCACGCCCCCCUCUCGAGUUCCAUAAUUUGCUGGAGGGGCCCACGGAGCUCAGAGCGUCGCUGCUCACCCGUUUGUCAUACGAGGACAGGAUGAAGGAGGCCGUGAACUCAGAUGGGAGGGGCGUAGGGCGAGGUACGGGGAGGGGUGCCGAGCUCCCGCCCCUCCCCAGGGGCACCCCUCUGCCAGCGCCCCCCACGCGCCCGUGUUCACCGGCCUCUGCUUUUGGGACUUUUACGGAGGCUUCACCAUGUGGACGUGAUCAUCAUUUGAGGGACCCUUUUCCAGCCCCUCACUCUGGAGAACGGGCUGGGCGAACUGAAUGUUCCGGGCUUCUGACGGCAGCUGGGUCUUUCCCGCGUCCAGCCCCCGCCCGGGAGCCACCUAGCAUCGCCUCGUUAGAACAAAGGAUCUAGGAGCGCGUGUCGGGAACCAGGGUCAAGACCAGGUAUCAGAACAGCGGUUCCUGGUGCUCUGAUCAGUUGGGAGGUGACGCGGGUUUAAGAGCUGUGUGCCAGGAACAGGGACGAGGACCAAAUACAGCUUUCUCAUUAUGAAUCACAAUAUCGUAACCAGAAAACGUCUUUCUUGGCUCGUAUUGUGUCGAAGCCUCCCACGUGCCUGUCGGCCACGCGUCACCCGUCACAUGUUUGGUGCCGUUGGCCGUUCUGCCACGAGAGCGCGUUUCGCAAACACAUCGAUUGUUUUAAAACAUGUUAGUGCGCACAUAUUAAGGGACUGUAUGGUAGGGAAUUCAGUGUCUAGAAAGCGACAAAUAAUUGCUUGUCUUCUUGUUGCCGUCUCCCACUCUGUAGUAGCGUUUUCAUAGUUCUUAUUCAGAGGACAACGUCCUCUCACACUGAAACGAUCCUACGUGAUUAGUGUAGAAAUGACCCUCUUGCGGGCGUGCGUUUUCACUUACUGUUUUAACAGAUUGCGGAGCGCCAGCUCUGUGUCAGGCCCGAUAGAGACUGCACCGGGGACACGGUAAUAAAUAAAACACAACCCUGGCCCUUGGAAUUCUCUGGUAGGAGUUAGAGCUUGAAAAAGAAAGAAACUCGAAGAUUAAGAACAGAAAUGUAAGGGAGAGGAAGACACAGAAGCAAUGCGAAUGCAGGAAAGAAAUGGCAUAAAAAGGCAAAACCACCUCAAAAUAAAAGAUAAAUAAAUCAUAACAUGCCCAAGGGAAAAAGAGCCAAAUUAAAUUUUAAUAAGGGGCCUUGAAGACAAGGCACAAAAGUAGCCAAGAGAAUGAAAUUGAGUUAAAGAAGGAAGUAAAAACGGAGCAGAGAGCGAGUUAUUGAAAUGGAAGUCAGUACGAGUCCCAGAAGAAGAAACACAGCGG